rnacentral:rRNA from 1 species
GAUGAACGCUGGCGGCGUGCCUAAUACAUGCAAGUCGAGCGAACAGACGAGGAGCUUGCUCCUCUGACGUUAGCGGCGGACGGGUGAGUAACACGUGGAUAACCUACCUAUAAGACUGGGAUAACUUCGGGAAACCGGAGCUAAUACCGGAUAAUAUAUUGAACCGCAUGGUUCAAUAGUGAAAGACGGUUUUGCUGUCACUUAUAGAUGGAUCCGCGCCGCAUUAGCUAGUUGGUAAGGUAACAGCUUACCAAGGCAACGAUGCGUAGCCGACCUGAGAGGGUGAUCGGCCACACUGGAACUGAGACACGGUCCAGACUCCUACGGGAGGCAGCAGUAGGGAAUCUUCCGCAAUGGGCGAAAGCCUGACGGAGCAACGCCGCGUGAGUGAUGAAGAUCUUCGGAUCGUAAAACUCUGUUAUUAGGGAAGAACAAAUGUGUAAGUAACUAUGCACGUCUUGACGGUACCUAAUCAGAAAGCCACGGCUAACUACGUG